rnacentral:lncRNA from 4 species
CGUCGCCACAAAGCUAAACACAAAAGCGACACAACAGCUUCCACAUCGCAGAAGAGGUGUUAUCGUUGCCGAGCUAGCCGCCCCAGCGACCUACGCCGACUUCACAACCGCAACAACACUGAAGACGAAAAUCGCCAAAGCGAAAAGCGGCUCCGGCAUCCAACAAUAGACAUCAGCCAAGCCACUGAGGAGCCACUUCCUUCACACGGCCAGCACCAGAACUCCUUGGAAGAGACUGCAACAUGUCAUCGUUGCCAAGCGUCGCCGCACCCCAUCAGCGAGCAACUUCGACUUCAUCAGCAGAAACAACCGAAGAGCGUGUCGCCCACCACAAGAAAGAAGCGGACCCAAGAAGGCGAAGCCUCGCCGAACACAAAAUAUGAAAGCUAUUGA